rnacentral:lncRNA from 1 species
CCAUAACAGACUCCAUGCUCUUUUAAAAAGCUCUCAGGUUUCUUUCUUUCUUUCUUUCUUUCUUUCUUUCUUUCUUUCUUUCUUUCUUUCUUUCUUUCUUUCCUUCUUUCUUUCUUUCUUUCUUUCCUUCCUUCCUUCCUUCCUUCCUUCCUUCUUUCUUUCUUUCUUUCUUUCUUUCUUUCUUUCUUUCUUUCUGUACCAGGGAUCGAACUCAGGACCUUGCAAGGCAGGUGAUGGAACCACUGAGCUAAAUCCCUGGCCCAAGGUAUCUUUCUGCCUCUAGGACUUUGCUCUUGCCAUUCCCUUUGCCUGGAAUAUUCUUCCCAAUGUUGUUUAUGUUGCUCCUUUAUUUUAUUGAGAUAAGUUCUUGCUGCAUAGUUCAGGCUGGCCUUGAACUCAUGGCAAUCCUCUUGCCUCAGCCUCUGGAGUUCUGGGAUUACGUAUGUGCACUACCACACCCGGCUCCCAGUCCCCACUUUUCUUUUUCUUUUUUUUUUCUUUUAUUUUCCUGGUACCAGGGAUCAAACUCAGGACCUUGUACUUGCCAGGCAUCCGAGGCGCCACUGAGCUACAUCCCCGGCCUCCCUACUUUUCACUUAGUAAAUUACCCUUCAACUUUCAGCUCUUAUAUUAUUGACUCAUAGAACUUCUCCCAUCUUGUUUGUCAUAGUACUAAAUACAUUUGUGAGUAGGUAAUUACUUGUGAUUAAUAAAAUUUUUCCUAUGGUAUGAAGCAAAAAAUGAGAGGAGUUAGUGCCUGGCCUUUAGCAGCCUCUCUGUAAAUACAUCCUGCAGCACUGAAUGAUUCCCUCAGACUGUGAUGAAUUCUUACAGAAUCCAGAAAGCUUUCUGUGUGCCUCCGUCCAUCACUACAAUUGAAGCUCGUGCUUUUUAAUGUGUGACCUAGAGACUCCUGGGGUUUCUGGGGAUAUUGUCAGGGGCAUGGCGGUGGAAAUUACUUUCAUAAUACACUAAGAUGUUAUUUGCCUUUCACCCUCUUUUUUUCCUGGCAGGGCUGGAACUAGAACCCCGGAACUCACACAUGCUAGGCAAGUGCUCUGUUCCCGAGCUGCAUCCUCAGCACCUUCUCUCUCAUUUUCUCCUGGCACACUCCUUGGCCAUACUCACGUAGAGCAUUUGAGGAGGCAGCGAAACAAGAUCAGGAUG